UACGGGGGGUGCAAGCGUUGUUCGGAAUUACUGGGCGUAAAGGGCUCGUAGGCGGCCAACUAAGUCGGACGUGAAAUCCCCAGGCUCAACCUGGGAACUGCGUCCGAUACUGGAUGGCUUGAAUCCGGGAGAGGGAUGCAGAAUUCCAGGUGUAGCGGUGAAAUGCUUAGAUAUCUGGAGGAAUACCGGUGGCGAAGGCGGCAUCCUGGACCGGCAUUGACGCUGAGGAGCGAAAGCCAGGGGAGCAAACGGG
rnacentral:rRNA from 1 species